rnacentral:rRNA from 1 species
GAUCAUGGCUCAGAACGAACGCUGGCGGCAGGCCUAACACAUGCAAGUCGAGCGCACCUUCGGGUGAGCGGCGGACGGGUUAGUAACGCGUGGGAACAUACCCUUCUCUACGGAAUAGCCAUUGGAAACGAUGAGUAAUACCGUAUACGCCCUUCGGGGGAAAGAUUUAUCGGUGAAGGAUUGGCCCGCGUUAGAUUAGAUAGUUGGUGGGGUAACGGCCUACCAAGUCUACGAUCUAUAGCUGGUUUGAGAGGAUGAUCAGCAACACUGGGACUGAGACACGGCCCAGACUCCUACGGGAGGCAGCAGUGGGGAAUCUUAGACAAUGGGCGAAAGCCUGAUCUAGCGAUGCCGCGUGAGUGACGAAGGCCUUAGGGUCGUAAAGCUCUUUCGCCAGGGAUGAUAAUGACAGUACCUGGUAAAGAAACCCCGGCUAACUCCGUGCCAGCAGCCGCGGUAAUACGGAGGGGGUUAG